UAAUAUAUAAGGUCUCGCUGCCAAACUUUUAAAAGCAGGUCAGAAAGUCCAGGAAGAACGGGAGAAGACGUGCAAAACACUCAUGGCUGGUACACUGUCCUGACGUGUAGUUGAGUUUGUCAAUCCGUAGCAUGGGCAUUCCACAGAUUUUGAUGAUUGAUUGGUGUGAAAUUAUCUAAGGAACUGUUGUCAAGUUAUGCAAUUGAAUUGUAGCUAUGCUUCAGAAAGAAAAGAAGGAAAAAAAUGUUUUCCUUUUCUUGAAGUUUUGAGAUUUAGAUUGGGUACUGAACGUAUAUAUCAAUCGAGAAAUUGGUGCUGUAGUUGAAGAUCAAUGUAGAGAACAAUGUAAGUAAGGCUAUGUGUUUCCAUACAAUACACUGGAUUGGCAACUCAUGAUGAAUAUAACGGAACGUAGCUCCCGGUUCCUUGAGAAUAA